CGCGUAGGCGGCUCUGCAAGUCGAAGGUGAAAUCCCUCAGCUCAACUGAGGAACUGCCUCCGAUACUGCAGGGCUUGAGUUCCGGAGAGGGUAGCGGAAUUCCAAGUGUAGCGGUGAAAUGCGUAGAUACUGGGAGGAACACCGGUGGCGAAGGCGGCUACCUGGACGGAUACUGACGCUGAGGCGCGAAAGCGUGGGGAGCAAACAGGAUUAGAUACCCUGGUAGUCC
rnacentral:rRNA from 1 species